UGUUGGGGAGUAGAGGUGUGUUUAAAGCUUCUGGAAGGCAAAGUGAGAGAAAAGGGGAUUGUUCAUUUGUGAGAGGCGUUUGAAGGACAUCCCUAAGAGGGGCUGUGAUGCAGCUGCCAUCAGUUAGGACUGCUGCCGCCUUCCUUUGCAUACAGCUGACCCUUCCUCUAUUGCCUGGUUAUCCAGAAGUCUCCACAAAGCUGUAGAAACUACAGCAGGGUUGGGGUGGAGUGAACUCAGCAAUGUACCAAAACCAUGAAACACAGACACAACUGCUUCUUCCAGCCAUUCAACAUACCACCCAGAAGGCAGCGUGGAGAAGAGGAAAGAGCGAAGAAUUUAAAGUCAGACAAGCCCAGCAGGUAUCUCUCUGCUGGAUCUGAGCUCCUGGAUUUCUCAGCCUGGAUCACGCAGAAGCAAUCAGAGGCAAUAUAGCCAACAGCAUUCACUAAAUGAUUGGGCGGCCAUUGCUAACUCCUGAUAAUGCAAAGGGAUAUGAAAACAGCUCCACCCAGAAACCAGCAAGUAAGCUGCAGGACAAACAUCAGAAGGGAAGAGGAAAAGCACAGAGUGAAGAAAUCAUGGAUAACCAUCCACAGGGAAGCAUCCCAAGCAAGGAGCCAAGAGGUUUAGGAAAAAUAAGAUGUUCCAAUUAGAGAAUUUAACUCUUUGUUACUAAAGUAACUAUAGAAUACAUUUUUCCUGACAUAGACCUCUGAGAAUGUCUAAAAAAGUCAUUAGGAUAUGCCUGAGUGUUCAUCCAAGGUCAAGGGAAGGUUCAGUUCAUUGAACCCAUGUUUAGGGGGAAUGGAUCAGAGAAGCAAGUGCUGUGAUUUCAUUAUGGGUCAUAUCAUUUAAUAUACGUUACACUGAAAGUUUCAAAACUCCUGCUCUAAGAAUUAACAAAUUACAUGUCAAAAAUAUUUUGUCAAUUUUUUACUCCAUUUUUAAAGGAUUAUGCAGUUCCAUGAGCUGUUUAAAAUCCUUUGGAUGACAACCUAGUUAAAUAUAGGGAAAAAUCCACCCUCUCACCCCUUGCUCAGCCCUUCUAGCACCCAGUGGCUAUCCCACUAAAUGACACACAUUUGCUUCUUCUUGGGACAGAUGCCAAGGGAUUCCUGGAAGUAAACAUCAGAUAUUUCACAGAGAACUGUGGGUUUAUUUAUUCUAUGAGAUGAUUGUCAGAAAUGACUCAGCUUUCUACACCUCCACUCCACUCCUUCCGUCAGGUGAUCCCACCUGCUGCUUCUACCUGUUCUCAGCUCAAUUCAUCUGCAGGUACUGGCACACAGGAAGCACCCCUUCCUGUUGACCUGUCAGGAUUGCCACUUAUUCCUGUCCCAUCCUUACACCCACACAUAUCUGGCACCCAGUCUGAAGAUCUGAUGUUGAUUUCCUGGUCUUUCUGGACCAUGCUGUCUGGAGCUUCUGACUCCCUCACCCAGAAUUCUGUGUAUAAAGCAUUGGUUGCUGAUGCCUUGGCACAAUUUAUUGGCUUUCUUGGAUCUGAGUUCUAGUCUCAACUCUUAACAACUCAGUACAAUUUUACUCAAUUGCUUUAACCUGUACGACACCUCCAUUUAACCUCAGUUUCUACAUUCAUACAAUUGGGUAAAAAUAUGUGCAUUGCUCAGAGAUAUUGUGAAGAAACAAUAGCCAUGAACAAUAGCCACUUUGUAUAAGUUAGAUAGUAAGUGUAUGAAUAGUAUUAAUAUCAAUACAAUCUGGUUACCUGACUGGAGUUGGGAUUUCCAGUAUUGUUACCUUAUCUCUCCCCUUACCUGUCAUUACUGCAUCCUUGGCCAUUUGCCUGGAUCUCUGAUCCCUGAGACCUGAUAUCAUGGAUGACAAUAUCUACCUUCCCACCUGGACCAUCUUUCUAGGCUAAGUGACCUCCUAUUUACAUCAUGCAAAGGUCAAUUACUCUCUUUCCUUCAAUCCCAGAUAAGGCUUCUGAGCCUUCUCCAUUUGGCUAUUCUGUCUAACUCAAUCUCCUAAUGACUACAGAGACUUCUACAAUUCAGGUUCAAAUAGCAAUCUUCUCUCUUCUGCCUUCAUAGAGGUCCUAUAGAGGAAAACUAGGAGAGCAAGAUGUUCUGGAAGCCAGGUGAAAAAGUUUGCAAAAAGGAAGGCUUGUACAAGUCUGUCAAGUGCUAAUAAUCAAGGAAGGUGAGGCCUGAGAGUUGAUCAUUGCAAUGUGUAAGUUACUGAUGAGCUGGAUAAGAACAAAUUUGGAAAAGUAAUCAUAGUAAAAGUUUGAUUAGAGUAGGUUCAACAAAGAAGAGAAGGAGUGAAAUUGAAACAGCAAGUAUAGGAAGCUCUUCAAGGAGUUUGUUGUUGUUAAGGGAAGGAGAAGAAUGGGCAAUAGCUGGAGAGAGAUACAGGAUGAAGAGUUUUUAUCAAUGAAUACACAAUCCAAGUAUUUUCAUAGGCUCCUGGGCUAGACCCAGGAGAGAGGAAUAACUUGGACAGGAGAGAGGGGGAAAAUUGCUAGAGCAAUGGCUUAAGUAGAUUUGAGGUGACGGAUCUAGCAUACCAUUGGAGGGGUUGGUCUUUAGGAAUAUGCAUGACUCAACUGUAGUGCAAGAAGGGAAGUGCAGUAUGAGCACACACGCAGAUGGCAAGAUGUGGAGGGGCUUUCCUGAUUGCAUUAGUUUUCUUAGUUACAUGGGAGAUAAAGUUAUCUGAGAAUGAUGAUGGAGGAGGCCUUGGAGUUUGAGGAGAAAGAAAGUUAGACAUAGUUAUUUGGAAGAGUAAAUGAUCUAGGGAACUACAAUGGAAUUGCUGGACAGGGUUAAUCACCCACAUAAUGUUGGCGAUCGUGAAUCUCGAUUGAUGUCAUCAGUGGAUUUUUCUCUAGACAUGUUCAUCAGUGUGGGUGUAGGCACAGAGUAGGCAGAAUGUCGAAUUUAACCAGGAUUGGGUUUUAUCCAAGGGAGUUUGAUGAAGUGAGAGCAAAGCAAAGAAGUCGGGGACAAAUUUAAGGGAGUGAUUAUAAUAAGUGACCAUGGAAUUUAAGCUGGGUUAUGGGGGGAAGUGUUUGAGGUUAUAAGGAGAACCAGUGGAAAUGUAGGAUCAGUAGAUUGGAGGUAUUUGUGGAGUUGGGGAGUUGUUGGAAUUGGGGUUUAGGAAGUGAGAUGGAAAGAAAAGUAGUUAGUUAUUGGCCAGAAAGUAGGCUGUAUGAUGAGUAAACAAGUAGUGGUGGGGUGAGAUGACUUCAACAAACCCAGUAAUUUCUAGAAUGGCACACUGGUGUGGCUUAAAGUAUUCUCCAUGUAGGCAAGUGGAUAGUGAGUAACCACCGUUUUAUGCUAGCGUUCUUUUCUCAUUAUCAUUAUUUUUGUUCAGUUGAGUACAUAAGUAUUAAAAAAGAAACAGGGAAAAAAUGUGGAGUUUGGUUUCAGUUGGUUCAGCUAUGUAAUUAAUCUCAGAGUACAGUUUGAGCACCCCUGGAAUUCCCCAAGAUCUCAAGUACUUGCAUAAUGAUAAUAAAAAGAUGUCAAUUUCCACUUUUGAUUUUUGUCUUGUGAAUGUACAGUAGCUUUUUCCAGAGGGUAUGUGACAGAGGGUAUGAUAGCACAACAGAUUGGGUGCAGAAGUCGACAUGAGAAUCCAGCUGUCUUCUAUUAAGCUAGAAAUUAAGGAGAUUUUUUUUU